GAAACGACUCUCGGCAACGGAUAUCUCGGCUCUUGUUACGAUGAAGAACGUAGCGAAAUGCGAUACUUAGUGUGAAUUGCAGAAUCCCGUGAAUCAUCGAGUUUUUGAACGCAAUUUGCGCCCGAGGCUUCGGUCGAGGGCACGUCUGUCUGGGCGUCGGAUC
rnacentral:rRNA from 1 species